rnacentral:rRNA from 1 species
CCUACGGGUGGCAGCAGUGAGGAAUAUUGGUCAAUGGACGAGAGUCUGAACCAGCCAAGUAGCGUGAAGGAUGACUGCCCUAUGGGUUGUAAACUUCUUUUAUAAAGGAAUAAAAUGAGGCACGUGUGCCUUUUUGCAUGUACUUUAUGAAUAAGGAUCGGCUAACUCCGUGCCAGCAGCCGCGGUAAUACGGAGGAUCCGAGCGUUAUCCGGAUUUAUUGGGUUUAAAGGGAGCGUAGAUGGGUUGUUAAGUUAGUUGUGAAAGUUUGCGGCUCAACCGUAAAAUUGCAAUUGAUACUGGCAGUCUUGAGUACAGUUGAGGUAAGCGGAAUUCGUGGUGUAGCGGUGAAAUGCUUAGAUAUCACGAAGAACCCCGAUUGCGAAGGCAGCUUACUAAACUGUGACUGACAUUGAUGCUCGAAAGUGUGGGGAUCAAACAGGAUUAGAUACCCGUGUAGUC